rnacentral:lncRNA from 1 species
GGCGGGGGUCGGUGGAGGGGGCGUAGGGGGAGGCUCUCCCCUCUCCCCGCCAGGCUCUUCGCCAAUAAAGACAGAUGGUUCCCCCCAGCCCCGCUUCUCCCGGCCUCUUGGUCUCCCUGUUGGGGAUUUCGGGGGGAUGUGGAAGGGAAAGGGACACCUGGGGGGCGACCGGGGACGGACCCCGGUCCACGGGCACCAGUAGCCACCCGGGCCCGACGCGGGCCGCCCGCGCCCGGCCACCGACGGACAGACGGAGCCGCCGGCCCGGGCCCGCGUCCGGGUGAGCGUCGCCGGCCCGACGACCACCACCCCAACCUUUCCCCUUCCCCACGGCUCCCUCCCCUCCUCGACCCUAAGUGCACUCCCAGCGCUCAGUCCAGUGGCCUGGCACGGAGUAGGCCCCUCACGAAGACCCUCGUCGUUGGCGUGGCUCAGUGGAAAGAGCCCGGGCUUAGGAGAAAGAGGUCAUAUCUCAGUUCCCUCAUCUGUAAAAUGGGGAUGAAGACUGUGAGCCUCAUGUGGGACAACGUGAUUACCCCGUAUCUACCCCAGUGCUUAGAACAGUGCUCGGCACACAGUAAGUGCUUAACAAAUAUGAACAUUAUUAUUGUAUUUCACCGGCUUCUCCCCGCGCCCUGUCAACUCCAGCCCCAGUGGACGCUGCCCCCUGACACCCCGGGCGGAGCCCCCCGGCCCACGACGGUCCCUGUCCCAGUCGGGGUCCCUCCGGUUCGACGGGAGGGAUGAGCCGGGGAGCUGGGGGAGGAGGAUGCUCGGGCCGGGGACGCCCGGUUAGGCAGGAGAAGCAGCGUGGCUCAGUGGCAAGAGCCCGGGCUUGGGAGUCAGAGGUCAUGGGAGUCAGAGGUCAUGGGUUCGAGUCCCGGCUCUGCCACUUGUCAGCCAAAUGACUGUGGGCGAGUCACUUCACUUCUCUCUGCCUAAGUUCCCUCAUCUGUAAAAUGGGGAUGAAGACCGUGAGCCUCACGUGGGACAACCCGAUGACCCUGGAUCUCCCCCAGCGCUUAGAACAGUGUUCUGCACAUA